rnacentral:rRNA from 1 species
ACGGGGGGUGCAAGCGUUGUUCGGAAUUAUUGGGAGUAAAGAGCGUGUAGGCGGCAGGAUGUGUCAGAUGUGAAAGCCCUGAGCUCAACUCAGGAAGUGCAUUUGAAACUGUCCAGCUUUAGUAGGGGAGAGGGAAGUGGAAUUCCUGGUGUAUAGUUGAAAUUCGUAGAUAUCAGGAGGAACACCUGUGGCGAAGGCGACUUCCUGGCCCUAUACUCACUCUGAGACGCGUGAGCGUCGGUAGCAAACAG